CAGUCGCCGCGGUAAUACAAAGGGGGCUAGCGUUGUUCGGAAUUACUGGCGUAAAGCGCACGUAGGCGGAUAUUUAGGUCAGGGGUGAAAUCCCGCAGCUCAACUGCGGAACUGCCUUUGAUACUGUCGAUCUGGAGUAUGGAAGAGGUGAGUGGAAUUCCGAGUGUAGAGGUGAGAUUCGUAGAUAUUCGGAGGAACACCAGUGGUGAAGGCGGCUCACUGGUCCAUUACUGACGCUGAGGUGCGAAAGCGUGGGGAGCAAACAGGAUUAGAUACCCCUGUAGUCCCUGUCUCUUAUACC
rnacentral:rRNA from 1 species